rnacentral:rRNA from 1 species
AUUGAACGCUGGCGGCAGGCCUAACACAUGCAAGUCGAACGAGUGGCAGACGGGUGAGUCAUGUCUGGGCAACUGCCUGAUGGGGGGGGAUCACUACUGGAAACGGUCGCUAAUACCGCAUACCAUCGGAUGUGCCCAGAUGGGAUUAGCUAGUAGGUGGGGUAAAGGCUCACCUAGGGGACGAUCCAUAGCUGGUCUGAGAGGCUGACAAGCCACACUGGAACUGAGACACGGUCCAGACUCCUACGGGAGGCAGCAGUGGGGAAUAUUGCACAAUGGGCGCAAGCCUGAUGCAGCCAUGACGCGUGUAUGAAGAAGGCCGUCGGGUUGUAAAGCACUUUCAGCGAGGAGGCGUUACCCGCAGAAGAAGCACCGGCUAGCUACGUGCCAGCAGCCGCGGUAAUAC